rnacentral:rRNA from 1 species
UACGUAGGGUGCAAGCAUUAAUCGGAUUUAUUGGGCGUAAAGGGCGCGUAGGCGGCCGAUCAAGUCGGGGGUGAAAGCCUGUGGCUCAACCACAGAAUUGCCUUCGAUACUGGUUGGCUUGAGACCGGAAGAGGUAAGUGGAACUGCGAGUGUAGAGGUGAAAUUCGUAGAUAUUCGCAAGAACACCAGUGGCGAAGGCGGCUUACUGGUCCGGUUCUGACGCUGAGGCGCGAAAGCGUGGGGAGCAAACAGG